UCCUUCCUCGCCACUCCAGUGUCUGUCUUUCCUUCACAGCCCCGGCUUCUCGAGGCCUGUCUACACUCGCUGCUUUCCUUCCUCACCUCCAAUUUCCCCUCCAACCCACUGCUUCCUGACUCGCUCUUCUCCAUCGAACGGCUCUCGCUCAGGCCUGUCGCGUCUUCCUGUGCCAUUUGCUGUUGUGCUCAGGUUCCACGAGCUGCCCAUCUCCACAGAAGAGCAGCUGGCAUUGCCCACCGGCCAUGCCGGCUGAAGAAAAGAAGACUGAGGACCCCAGGAUGCCCAGCGCGAGGACCCCAGGAAGCCCAGAGCGAGGACUCCACCCACGACGCCCAGCGCGAGGACUUCACGCACAACACGUUGCAACCCUCCUGGAUUAGGCCAAAGCCAUCAUCUGGAAUCCUGCGUGGGACCCUGGACACACGGACACAGACACCUGCCCCCAGGACCCUCCAACUGUAAAUCCCUCCACAGCCACGGGGACGCCUUGCACAUUUCCUGUGGGACAUGCUGGACCCAAGACUCUGGACCCUGGCCUCCCCUUGAGUAGAGAGACCCACCUACUGACUGAUGAACUGCGCUGACCCUGGGGUCAGGCAUGUGGCCUUGAUCCCUACCCAUGGACCCUGAGACUUGGGGGGGUGGGAGAAAGGCUGUUGUGUCUUCACUGUUGAGUCUACAUCUGUGAAAUGGGCUCAGGUUCCUACCUCACAGGGCUGUUGUGAGGCAGCCACGAUGUGCUUAGAAGCAUGGGGCCUGGUGGCUCAUGGUGCUUUCAAUAAAUUUCUUGUUUU
ensembl:lincRNA Meg3 maternally expressed 3